GUGGGGAAUCUUGCGCAAUGGGCGAAAGCCUGACGCAGCCAUGCCGCGUGGAUGAUGAAGGUCUUAGGAUUGUGAAAUCCUUUCACCGGUGAAGAUAAUGACUGAAGCCGGAGAAGAAGCCCCGGCUAACUUCGUGCCAGCAGCCGCGGUAAUACGAAGGGGGCUAGCGUUGCUCGGAUUUACUGGGCGUAAAGGGCGCGUAGGCGGACAUUUAAGUCAGGGGUGAAAUCCCGGGGCUCAACCUCGGAACUGCCUUUGAUACUGGGUGUCUUGAGUAAGAGAGAGGUGUGAUGAACUCCGAGUGUAGAGGUGAAAUUCGUAGAGAUUCGGAAGAACACCAGUGGCGAAGGCGACACACUGGCUCAUUACUGACGCUGAGGCGCGAAAGCGUGGGGAGCAAACAGGAUUAGAAACCCUAGUAGUCC
rnacentral:rRNA from 1 species